AGCUCCAAUAGCGUAUAUUAAAGUUGUUGCAGUUAAAAAGCUCGUAGUUGGAUUUCUGACAGGAAAAGAUCGGUUAUCUUUAUAUAAAUGAAGAUAUACGUCAGAGCUUUUUUAGUCAUCCUUAUAGAGAUUUUAUAAUUAGAUAUUAAUUUAUCUUGUAAAGGAUCUAUAUCGUUUACUGUGAAAAAAUUAGAGUGUUUAAAGCAGGCAAUAUUUUAGCUGUGAAUACAUUAGCAUGGAAUAAUAAGAUAGGAUUUUGGUACUAUUUUGUUGGUUUGCAUACCAAGAUAAUGAUUAAGAGGGACAGUUGGGGGUAUUCGUAUUUAAUUGUCAGAGGUGAAAUUCUUGGAUUUAUGAAAGACGAACUACUGCGAAAGCAUUUACCAAGGAUGUUUUCAUU
rnacentral:rRNA from 1 species